GAGUGUAUAGUUCAGUGGUAGAACAACUACCUUUUAAGUAGUUUUGCGUGAGUUCGAGUCUCAUUACACUUA
rfam:Sugiyamaella lignohabitans strain CBS 10342 mitochondrion genome.